CCUACGGGAGGCAGCAGUGGGGAAUAUUGCACAAUGGGGGAAACCCUGAUGCAGCGACGCCGCGUGAGUGAAGAAGUAUUUCGGUAUGUAAAGCUCUAUCAGCAGGGAAGAAAAUGACGGUACCUGAUUAAGAAGCCCCGGCUAACUACGUGCCAGCAGCCGCGGUCAUACGUAGGGGGCAAGCGUUAUCCGGAUUUACUGGGUGUAAAGGGAGCGUAGACGGCAGCGCAAGUCUGAAGUGAAAUGCCGGGGCUUAACCCCGGAACUGCUUUGGAAACUGUGCAGCUAGAGUGCAGGAGAGGUAAGUGGAAUUCCUAGUGUAGCGGUGAAAUGCGUAGAUAUUAGGAGGAACACCAGUGGCGAAGGCGGCUUACUGGACUGUAACUGACGUUGAGGCUCGAAAGCGUGGGGAGCAAACAGGAUUAGAUACCCCAGUAGUC
rnacentral:rRNA from 1 species